UUGUGGUUAAAAAGCUCGUAGUUGGAUCUCAACAGCCUUGAAACGGUUAACUUUGUAGUUUUACUGCUUUAUAGGCUGUGCUUUUGCUGGAGGUUUAGGGAUGCUCUUGAUCGAGUGUCUCUGGAUGCCAGCAGGUUUACUUUGAAAAAAUUAGAGUGCACAAAGCAGGCUAAAAUGCCUGAAUAUUCGUGCAUGGAAUAAUAGAAUAGGAUGUCGAUCCUAUUUUGUUGGUUUUCGGGACUCGACAUAAUGAUAAAUAGGGACAGUCGGGGGCAUUUGUAUUCAAACGACAGAGGUGAAAUUCUUGGACCGUUUGAAGACAAACUACUGCGAAAGCAUUUGCCAAGAAUGUUUUCAUUAAUCAAGAACCGUGAAGUUA
rnacentral:rRNA from 1 species